rnacentral:rRNA from 1 species
ACGGUAACAGGAAGCAGCUUGCUGCUUUGCUGACGAGUGGCGGACGGGUGAGUAAUGUCUGGGAAACUGCCUGAUGGAGGGGGAUAACUACUGGAAACGGUGGCUAAUACCGCAUAACGUCGCAAGACCAAAGAGGGGGACCUUCGGGCCUCUUGCCAUCAGAUGUGCCCAGAUGGGAUUAGCUUGUUGGUGAGGUAACGGCUCACCAAGGCGACGAUCCCUAGCUGGUCUGAGAGGAUGACCAGCCACACUGGAACUGAGACACGGUCCAGACUCCUACGGGAGGCAGCAGUGGGGAAUAUUGCACAAUGGGCGCAAGCCUGAUGCAGCCAUGCCGCGUGUAUGAAGAAGGCCUUCGGGUUGUAAAGUACUUUCAGCGGGGAGGAAGGUGUUGUGGUUAAUAACCGCAGCAAUUGACGUUACCCGCAGAAGAAGCACCGGCUAACUCCGUGCCAGCAGCCGCGGUAAUACGGAGGGUGCAAGCGUUAAUCGGAAUUACUGGGCGUAAAGCGCACGCAGGCGGUCUGUCAAGUCGGAUGUGAAAUCCCCGGGCUCAACCUGGGAACUGCAUUCGAAACUGGCAGGCUUGAGUCUUGUAGAGGGGGGUAGAAUUCC